CAGAAUAUAGUUUAAUUAAAAUAAUGGCAUUGGGGUCCAUAGAAGGUUACCCUAUUCUGA
rnacentral:tRNA from 1 species